rnacentral:rRNA from 1 species
UACGUAGGGGGCAAGCGUUAUCCGGAUUUACUGGGUGUAAAGGGAGCGUAGACGGCGAUGCAAGUCUGAAGUGAAAGGCGGGGGCCCAACCCCUGGACUGCUUUGGAAACUGUAUGGCUGGAGUGCAGGAGAGGUAAGUGGAAUUCCUAGUGUAGCGGUGAAAUGCGUAGAUAUCAGGAGGAACACCGGCGGCGAAGGCGGCCUGCUGGACCGUAACUGACGUUGAGGCUCGAAAGCAUGGGUAGCGAACAGG